AGAGUUUGAUUCUGGCUCAGAACGAACGCUGGCAGCGUGGAUUAGGCAUGCAAGUCGAACGGGAAGCCGUUGAUCAAUCUUCGGAAAGUGAUUCGGUGGAGAGUGGCGGAAGGGUGAGUAACGCGUGGAUAAGCUACCCUCAAGUCGGGGACAACCUCGGGAAACUGAGGCUAAUACCGGAUGUGGUCCUCUGUCGCAUGGCAGAGUGACUAAAGGUGGGGCUCCUUCGGGACCUGCCGCUUGGGGAGGUGUCCGCGUGCCAUCAGCUUGUUGGUAGGGUAACGGCCUACCAAGGCUUACGGCUAGCUGGUCUGAGAGGAUGAUCAGCCACACUGGGACUGAGACACUGCCCAGACUCCUACGGGAGGCUGCAGUCGAGGAUCAUUCGCAAUGCGCGAAAGCGUGACGAUGCGACGCUGCGUGGAGGAUGAAGGCUUUCGGGUUGUAAACUCCUGUCAUGAGGGAAAAGACGUCUUGGGGCCAAUACCCCCGAGACCCGAUGGUACUUCAAGAGGAAGCCACGGCUAACUCUGUGCCAGCAGCCGCGGUAAUACAGAGGUGGCGAGCGUUGUUCGGAUUUACUGGCGUAAAGCGUGUGCAGGCGGUUUCGUAUGUCGGAUGUGAAAGCCCACGGCCCAACCGAGGAAUUGCAUCCGAAACUGCGAGACUUGAGUACAGGAGGGGAGAGCGGAAUUCUUGGUGUAGCGGUGAGAUGCGUUGAUAUCAAGAAGAACACCGGUGGCGAAGGCGGCUCUCUGGAAUGUUACUGGCGCUCAUACACGAAAGUUGGGGGAGCAAACAGGAUUAGAUACCCUGGUAGUCCCAACCGUAAACGGUGUGCACUUGGUGUUGGAGGUAUUAACCCCUUCAGUGCCGGAGCUAACGCGUUAAGUGCACCGCCUGGGGAGUACGGCCGCAAGGCUAAAACUCAAAGAAAUUGACGGGGGCCCGCACAAGCGGAGGAGCAUGUGGCUUAAUUCGAUGCAACGCGAAGAACCUUACCUGGGCUUGACAUGUAACUGCACGCCCCGUGAAAGCGGGGUUCCUUCGAGGGUGUUACACAGGUGCUGCAUGGCUGUCGUCAGUUCGUGCCGUGAGGUGUUGGGUUAAGUCCCGCAACGAACGCAACCCUUGUGGUUAGUUGCCACCGUCGGUGAUAAGCCGGCGAGCACUCUAGCCAGACUGCCCGUACAAGCGGGAGGAAGGUGGGGAUGACGUCAAGUCAGUAUGGCCCUUACGUCCAGGGCUGCACACGUGCUACAAUGGUCGGUACAGAAGGAAGCAAUACCGCGAGGUGGAGCAAAUCCCAAAAACCGGCCUCAGUUCGGAUUGUAGUCUGCAACUCGACUACAUGAAGUUGGAUUCGCUUGUAACGGCGUAUCAGCUACGACGCCGUGAAUACGUUCCCGGGCCUUGUACACACCGCCCGUCACAUCAUGGAAGCCGUCUGGACCCGAAGUCGCUGAGCUAACCCGCAAGGGAGGCAGGUGCCUAAGGUCUGGGUGGUAACUGGGAUGAAGUUGAACAAGGUA
rnacentral:rRNA from 1 species